rnacentral:piRNA from 1 species
UGUGUCGACAUGGAUAGUUGGACUGCUGC